rnacentral:sRNA from 1 species
GCCGGGCAUGGUGGCCCACGCCUGUAAUCCCAGCAUUUUGGGAGGCCUAGGUGGGUGGCUCACCUGAGGUCAGGAGUUUGAGACCAGCCUGACCAACAUGGUGAAACCCCAUCUCUU